GACGAACGCUGGCGGCGUGCUUAACACAUGCAAGUCGAACGAUGAAGACUGGUGCUUGCACUGGUUGGAUUAGUGGCGAACGGGUGAGUAAUACGUGAGUAACCUGCCUUUGACUCUGGGAUAAGCCUGGGAAACUGGGUCUAAUACCGGAUAUGACAAGGAACCGCAUGGUUUUUUGUGGAAAGGGUUUGUACUGGUUUUAGAUGGGCUCACGGCCUAUCAGCUUGUUGGCGAGGUAAUGGCUCACCAAGGCGACGACGGGUAGCCGGCCUGAGAGGGUGACCGGCCACACUGGGACUGAGACACGGCCCAGACUCCUACGGGAGGCAGCAGUGGGGAAUAUUGCACAAUGGGCGCAAGCCUGAUGCAGCGACGCCGCGUGAGGGAUGACGGCCUUCGGGUUGUAAACCUCUUUCAGCAGGGAAGAAGCGAAAGUGACGGUACCUGCAGAAGAAGCGCCGGCUAACUACGUGCCAGCAGCCGCGGUAAUACGUAGGGCGCGAGCGUUGUCCGGAAUUAUUGGGCGUAAAGAGCUUGUAGGCGGUUUGUUGCGUCUGCUGUGAAAGACCGGGGCUUAACUCCGGUAUUGCAGUGGGUACGGGCAGACUAGAGUGCAGUAGGGGAGACUGGAAUUCCUGGU
rnacentral:rRNA from 1 species